UGGGGAAUAUUGGACAAUGGGGGCAACCCUGAUCCAGCGACGCCGCGUGUGUGAAGAAGGCCUGCGGGUUGUAAAGCACUUUUAGUGGGGAUGAAAAGCACACUACUAACACUGGUGUGUCUUGACCUAACCCAAAGAAAAAGCACCGGCUAACUCUGUGCCAGCAGCCGCGGUAAUACAGAGGGUGCGAGCGUUAAUCGGAAUUACUGGGCGUAAAGCGUGCGUAGACGGUUAUUUAAGUCGGGUGUGAAAGCCCCGGGCUCAACCUGGGAAUUGCAUUCGAGACUGAAUAGCUAGGGUACGGUAGAGGGAAGUGGAAUUUCCGGUGUAGCGGUGAAAUGCGUAGAUAUCGGAAGGAACAUCAGUGGCGAAAGCGACUUCCUGGACCAGUACCGACGUUCAGGCACGAAAGCGUGGGGAGCAAACAGG
rnacentral:rRNA from 1 species